AGGGGCACUCAUACCGGAGGGGCCACACCCGUUUCCAUUCCGAACACGGUCGUUAAGCCCUCCAGGGCUGAUGGUACUGCUCUGGCAACGGAGUGGGAGAGUAAGACGGUGCCCCUC
rnacentral:rRNA from 1 species